rnacentral:lncRNA from 1 species
AACAGGCCUGGAUGAACGGUAGCUGCUGCGGUUACAUUAUUAGCUUCAGUUUGCCCGCCCAGGCUAGAUGUUUAAUCAGAUUUCACAGACUUCACAGUGUGAGUUGGGGAUGUGACUUCGUAUGAAAGUGAAGGAACUCAGGCUCAGAGAGGGAAGCCCUCUCCGGGUUCGCUGAGGCCGCGGGCACGACCUUCGUCAGUCUGGUGGUGUCCGGCCGGGUGGUGGCAGCAACAGAGGGUUGGUGGCGGCUGGGGACGCCCGAGGCCGUGCUGCUCCCCUGGCUGGUGGGGUCCCUGCCGCCGCAGACCGCUCGCGACUACCCGGUGUACCUGCCGCACGGGAGCCCCACGGUCCCACACCGGCUCCUGACCCUGACUCUGCUGCCGAGCCUGGAGCUGUGUCUACUCUGCGGGCCGAGCCCACCCCUCAGCCAGUUGUAUCCACAGCUUCUGGAGCGCUGGUGGCAGCCACUGCUGGACCCGUUGCGGGCCUGUCUGCCGUUGGGACCCCGGGCGCUGCCCAGUGGCUUCCCCCUUCACACAGACAUCCUCGGGCUGCUGCUCCUCCACCUGG